GUCCCGCAACGAGCGCAACCCUUAUCCUUUGUUGCCAGCGGUCCGGCCGGGAACUCAAAGGAGACUGCCAGUGAUAAACGGGAGGAAGGUGGGGAUGACGUCAAGUCAUCAUGGCCCUUACGACCAGGGCUACACACGUGCUACAAUGGCGCAUACAAAGAGAAGCGACCUCGCGAGAGCAAGCGGACCUCAUAAAGUGCGUCGUAGUCCGGAUUGGAGUCUGCAACUCGACUCCAUGAAGUCGGAAUCGCUAGUAAUCGUGGAUCAGAAUGCCACGGUGAAUACGUUCCCGGGCCUUGUACACACCGCCCGUCACACCAUGGGAGUGGGUUGCAAAAGAAGUAGGUAGCUUAACCUUCGGGAGGGCGCUUACCACUUUGUGAUUCAUGACUGGGGUGAAGUCGUAACAAGGUAACCGUAGGGGAACCUGCGGUUGGAUCACCUCCUUA
rnacentral:rRNA from 1 species